GCACAACAUUCUGUCUCUCCCAAAGGAGAGGAGCUGGGAAAAUCUGUGUGUGGCUCUAGCUGGCUCUAGAAGAUUAAUGGCUGAGGAGUGAAGAGGACAAAUGCAGGCAGGGGUACUGCUGUGGAGCAGAAUCACCAGGAGGCCUGGACAAUGAGGAAAUGGAGAGAAAAAAGAAAUUGAGACUGAAGUGGUUUAUGUACAAUGCCAAAGCUCCCACACGUAGUGCAUGGAAAAGGAGCCCUCAGAACCUGGGCUUUUCGAACUACAGCUAUGUCAUUGGAGGAAAGAGAACAGCUCAGCUCUCCAAAUUGCAGUAACUGUUGAGCUAAGGUGAUGACGUCAAGGGGAAGGAAGAAAGAGCACUGUCUCAGGUAUCAGCACUCACUGCUGUAAUUACAAAUGUCUUCCCACUCUGAACUCCAGAAAACUCUCCUCACAUUUCAGAACUAUCCCAGGCCUGCUCUCAAGAAG
rnacentral:lncRNA from 10 species